rnacentral:rRNA from 1 species
GGCCUGAGCCAUAUCUUCCUGCAGUUCUCCCCUGGUUUCCCACUGAAUCUAAACAGGGUUGAGCCCAGCCAGUACCUGGAUGGGAGACCUCCUGGGUAAAACUUAGGUUGCUGCUA